rnacentral:lncRNA from 1 species
AUGCCACCUAGUGGCUUCCCAAGUGGAAAAUUCCUUUUAAACGUGAUUUACAGUCACGUCGCCUCUGCCGGCUGCUCCGUACACCUCAAGCUCGCUCUUGAAGAGCACAGCCCCGGCACCUCUGCAGCCCGGCCCCGGCCAAGAGCCGCCUGUCAGCGGCCCCUCCCUGCACCCUCAGACCCCCGGGAAAUUCCCACCUCCUCGGCCUGUGUUUACAGCUCUCUCCUGUUCUCUGCCAUGUUCAAAGCCUUCACGGAGCCCACGCCCAUUUGGCUGCUCACCUUACCCCCCUGGCCCACGACCUUAACCAAGUAUCUGGCAGAAAGAAGAAAAGGAAUGUGAAGAAAGGUAAGAUGUCUCUGCAGAGUAUGGUCUCAGCCUGGGCCUAGCAACAGAGGGGCUGAAGAACCAUUGAGAGAAGCUCGUGGGCCUUUGGGGAUUUAGCAAGGCUCUGUGUACUCAUCUCCAGCUGCACAGAAGAUCCAGUCUGACACAUCAAACACUGUCUUAGGGUGUGUUAACAGUGAGCUUAUGCAUCAGAUAUAUGCAGUAAGCUGCCCAGGUCUCACUGUUGGGUUCUUACAUGGAAAAGGGUCCCAUGCACCAUACUUUCACAACAUCUCUGUCUUAGGCAGCCUGGGAUACACUCUCCCUGGACAGACAAUUGCUCUUUGAGGCACUGCAAGUGAAGAGAAACCUAAGAAGGAGUAAUUACCAAAGUUACAGUCAAGAGAAAGCUCUCAGGUGCCUGUAACAGCCCACCAAGCUGCCCAUGGGUGUUUUACCCUUGUGCUGACAUGCACCAGAGUGAGGAAGCUGCUGUGCUGCCAUGGAAGGUAGCAUACUGUAACAUCACUCACAAAACUGGAGAAUUUCUUUGGUUUUGCUUUUUACACACACCUUAAGCUGAAAAUAUGUCCUCUCAUAAAGUGGAGUGUGAGAAGCAGCAUCCACAACAAGAAAAGUGGCACCAUCUCUUGGGAAAAAGCAUUUGUGUCCUCUACAGUGGGGAAUACGCAGCAGGAGGUUGCUGUUAGAAAGCCCUGUCUGCUGUUUCCUCUGAAGCAGAGCAGAGAGCAUGUCUUCCUAGCAGAUAGCUCAGAAAAAGCCUGGGCACUGAACAAAAAUUCCCUGUAUUACAGAGGGGAUUACCCCUCCAGCUGUGCCAUGAGUUGGGUUACACCAUACAGAAAUUGGGAAUUGCAGUGGAAGUGCCUGCCUGGUCUGUAGGGCUGUGUUGGAGUGUGGCUACAAGCAGUGGUGUUGGGCAACAUAAUCAAAAUGUGAACAGGCUACAGGAGGUUUGCUCAGACCUACAUCAGCUCAGGUGUUCAGAGAUGUGCUUCAAAAUGUAGUAUGGACCAGUCUGAAUGGGGGG